CUGGCGGCGUGCCUAAUACAUGCAAGUCGAACGGUCUUUCUAUGGAGGCUUGCUUCCACUGAGAAGAUAGUGGCGAACGGGUGAGUAACACGUGGGUAACCCGCCCAUAAGAGGGGGAUAACAUCCGGAAACGGGUGCUAAUACCGCAUAGUUUUCUUGAUUGCAUGAUUGAGAAAGGAAAGACGGCCUUUGUGCUGUCGCUUAUGGAUGGACCCGCGGCGUAUUAGUUAGUUGGUGAGGUAACGGCUCACCAAGACGAUGAUACGUAGCCGACCUGAGAGGGUGAUCGGCCACAUUGGGACUGAGACACGGCCCAAACUCCUACGGGAGGCAGCAGUAGGGAAUCUUCCGCAAUGGACGAAAGUCUGACGGAGCAACGCCGCGUGAGUGAAAGAAGGUUUUCGGAUCGUAAAACUCUGUUGUCAGAGAAGAACAAGUUGGAGAGUAACUGCUCCAGCCUUGACGGUAUCUGACCAGAAAGCCACGGCUAACUACGUGCCAGCCGCCGC
rnacentral:rRNA from 1 species